UGCUGCUUCAAAAUUGUAUAUAUCUCUAGCUGAACUAUAACCCAUAUAUGAGAGCAAUUAUAAGGAGCAAACUUGGGCUAAAGGUUUAGUCAAAAUCAUUAUAUUCUAGCAUAUCUUACUCUAAGCAUUAAAUGUAGUAAAAUAUAGCAUCUUAGUAUGGCUAGAUAAUCCAAUCUGGUAUGUAUAAAAAUUUACACACCGCUGCGGGGUAUCAGGAUAGUAACUAAAUAAUGGUGCUUUUAUAAAGAAGGCUUAGGCCUUGUACAAUGCAAAGUACUUAGGGGAGGUGCUUAGAAAAAAAACCAAUCUUUUCCUAAGCACUCGUGCUUAUAUCUAUACGGGGGUUGCUUAAUUAAGCGUCUACUCUAUGUAAAUAGGCACAAGUGCUUCAGAAAAACUGGUUUAUAUGUCUAAGCAACUUCCCUAAGCAUAUUGCAUUGUACAAGGCCUUAUAGAUAAUAACUAAAGACAAAUGCUGCACUAUAAUGCAAAUUUGCAUACCAUAAUGCACUUGCAUCUUUUUUAGAACCCCAUGUUUUUGGGAGUUCAAUUGUCCAUGGAUGUCGAGAAUGAAUGAUCACAAAAAACAAAUAUGAACAAUGACUCAAGAUGAUCGUUCAAGAAAAAAGAUCAAUAAACAAAUGUGUUGCAUGUCACAAAACCAAGCCUAUAAAAAUAACAUCCUUCUCUCAUUCUAAGCAUUUUUUACCAAC
rnacentral:lncRNA from 1 species